rnacentral:rRNA from 1 species
GUCUCUAAGCAAUGGAUGUCUUGGCUCCUCACACGAUGAAGAACGUGGCAUAAUGUGUUAAAGUAACCGGAGUUGCAAACAUCAUGACAGGUUAAUCUUUGAAUGCAAAUUGCGCUAAACUCG